rnacentral:tRNA from 1 species
GGCUCUGUAGCUCAGUUGGUAGAGCACGCGACUGAAAAUCGCGGUGUCACUGGUUCGAACCCAGUUGGAGCCACCA